AGUGAACGCUGGCGGUAGGCCUAACACAUGCAAGUCGAACGGCAGCACAGUAAGAGCUUGCUCUUACGGGUGGCGAGUGGCGGACGGGUGAGGAAUACAUCGGAAUCUACUUUUUCGUGGGGGAUAACGUAGGGGAACUUACGCUAAUACCGCAUACGACCUACGGGUGAAAGCAGGGGAUCUUCGGGCCUUGCGCGAUUGAAUGAGCCGAUGUCGGAUUAGCUAGUUGGCGGGGUAAAGGCCCACCAAGGCGACGAUCCGUAGCUGGUCUGAGAGGAUGAUCAGCCACACUGGAACUGAGACACGGUCCAGACUCCUACGGGAGGCAGCAGUGGGGAAUAUUGGACAAUGGGCGCAAGCCUGAUCCAGCCAUACCGCGUGGGUGAAGAAGGCCUUCGGGUUGUAAAGCCCUUUUGUUGGGAAAGAAAAGCAGCAGGUUAAUACCCCGCUGUUCUGACGGUACCCAAAGAAUAAGCACCGGCUAACUUCGUG
rnacentral:rRNA from 1 species